rnacentral:rRNA from 1 species
GAAAGGACCGGACCUUCGGGGAGCCUAUACAGGUGUUGCAUGGCUGUCGUCAGCUCGUGUCGUGAGAUGUCGGUUAAGUCCGCUAACGAGCGCAACCCUCGUCGUAUGUUAUAUGCGUCAUACGAGACUGCCGGUAAAAAGCCGGAGGAAGGUGAGGAUGAUGUCAAGUCAGCAUGACCUUUAUAUCCAGGGCUACACACACGCUACAAUGGUCUGUACAAUGGGUAGCCAAGCCGCGAGGCGGAGCCAAUCCUGAAAGCAGGCCUCAGUUCAGAUUGCAGUCUGCAACUCGACUGCAUGAAGCCGGAGUUGCUAGUAACCGCAGGUCAGCAAUACUGCGGUGAAUACGUUCCCGGGUCUU